UUCCUCAAUAGCUCAGUGGUAGAGCGAUCGGCUGUUAACUGACUGGUCGUAGGUUCGAAUCCUACUUGGGGAGA
rnacentral:tRNA from 1 species